rnacentral:lncRNA from 1 species
UGAUGGAAUAGAGAGUUUUAAAAGAAAACAAAUAUCUAUCCUCUUCCUUUAGUCCCACAUCUAAAAAAAUAUAAAAAACCUCCCUCCUAACACCUAUAAAAAAGCCUUCAUAUCUCUACCUUGAGAACCAUCAAAUAAAUCUGGAGGAUCUGAGAAUCUGAGGAUCCAAAAAUCCAAGGAUCUAGAAAUCCUUCAAAGUUCUUGCAAGGAGGGAG